rnacentral:rRNA from 1 species
AGAGGUGGCAAGCGUUGUUCGGAAUUACUGGGCGUAAAGGGCGCGCAGGCGGCUCGUCAAGUCCCGUGUGAAAUCCCCCGGCUCAACUGGGGAACUGCGCGGGAAACUAGCGAGCUUGAGUUCGGGAGAGGAAAGCGGAAUUCCGGGUGUAGCGGUGAAAUGCGCAGAUAUCCGGAGGAACACCAGUGGCGAAGGCGGCUUUCUGGACCGACACUGACGCUGAGGCGCGAAAGCUAGGGGAGCGAACGGGGAUUAGAUACCCCGGUAGUCCUAGCCCUAAACGUUGAGCACUGGGUGUAGGGGGUAUGAACCCCCCCCCCUGUGCCGAAGCUAACGCAUUAAGUGCUCCGCCUGGGGAGUACGGUCGCAAGGCUG